GACGGAGGAUGCAAGCGUUAUCCGGAAUGAUUGGGCGUAAAGCGUCCGCAGGUGGCCGUUCAAGUCUGCUGUCAAAGACCGGGGCUUAACUUCGGAAAGGCAGUGGAAACUGAACAGCUAGAGUAUGGUAGGGGCAGAGGGAAUUCCUGGUGUAGCGGUGAAAUGCGUAGAGAUCAGGAAGAACAUCGGUGGCGAAGGCGGCUCUCUGGAACGCAACUGACGCUGAGACGCGAAAGCGUGGGGAGCAAACAGG
rnacentral:rRNA from 1 species